rnacentral:rRNA from 1 species
UACGUAGGGUGCAAGCGUUAAUCGGAAUUACUGGGCGUAAAGCGUGCGCAGGCGGUUUUGUAAGUCUGUCGUGAAAGCCCCGGGCUCAACCUGGGAAUUGCGAUGGAGACUGCAAGGCUUGAAUCUGGCAGAGGGGGGGUAGAAUUCCACGUGUAGCAGUGAAAUGCGUAGAGAUGUGGAGGAACACCGAUGGCGAAGGCAGCCCCCCUGGGUCAAGAUUGACGCUCAUGCACGAAAGCGUGGGGAGCAAACAGG